rnacentral:rRNA from 1 species
UACAGAGGUCCCAAGCGUUAUUCGGAAUCAUUGGGCUUAAAGGGCGCGUAGGCGGCGGUGUAAGUUGGAAGUGAAAUCCCAUCGGCUCAACCGUGGAAUUGCUCCCAGUACUGCAUCGCUCGAGGGGGAUAGGGGUUUGCGGAACUACCGGUGGAGCGGUGAAAUGUGUUGAUAUCGGUGGGAACGCCAGUGGCGAAAGCGGCAAACUUGACCCUUCCUGACGCUGAGGCGCGAAAGCUAGGGGAGCAAACGGG